rnacentral:rRNA from 2 species
UACGUAGGGUGCAGGCGUUAAUCGGAAUUACUGGGCGUAAAGCGUGCGCAGGCGGUUUGCUAAGACAGGUGUGAAAUCCCCGGGCUUAACCUGGGAACUGCGCUUGUAACUGGCAAGCUAGAGUGUGGCAGAGGGGGGUGGAAUUCCAGGUGUAGCAGUGAAAUGCGUAGAGAUCUGGAGGAACACCGAUGGCGAAGGCAGCCCCCUGGGCUAACACUGACGCUCAUGCACGAAAGCGUGGGGAGCAAACAGG